rnacentral:lncRNA from 1 species
AAUUCUAAGCUAGAGGUGUCAGAAAAGUUACCACAAGGAUAACUGGCUAUGGAAGCCAAGCGUUCAUAGCGAUGUUGCUUUUUGAUCCUUCGAUGUCGGCUCUUCCUAUCAUUGUGAAGAGGAAUUCACCAAGUGUUGGAUUGUUCACCCACCAUAAAGGAACAUGAUCUGGGUUUAGACCUUUGUGAGACAGCUUAGUUUUACCCUACUGAUAAAAGUGUCGCACCAGUAAUUCGACCUAGUACGAGAGGAACCGUUGAUUCGCAUAAUUGGUCAUCACGCUUUGUUGAAAAGCCAGUGGUGCGAAGCUACUGUGCGCUGGAAUAUGACUGAACGCCUCUAAGUAGAAUCCGGGCUAGCAGUGAUGCAUGCGCCCGCCGUCCGCUUGCCGACAAGCAGUAGUGGCCUUUGGCCCCCAAGGGCACGUGUCGUUGGCUAAGUCAUCGCGGAGGAAGAGCCGCGAUGGCCGCCUUGAAGUACAAUUUCCAUCAAGCGGCGAGGAGAAUCCUUUUCUGACGACUUAAAUAUGCGACAGGGUAUUUUAAGUGGCAGAGUGGCCUUGCUGCCACGAUCCACUGAGAUUCCGCCCUUUGUCGCUCCGAUUAGUCCCUUCCCCUCCAAUACAAUAAGUUUAUAACUUUUCCAAUAAGUCCUUAAGACCUUGGAACGUAUACUAUUUGUGCAUUAAGUGGAAAAUGUGACUUGACACUUAGUCACGUCGAGGGAAAUACAAAACUAAAUUACAAUACUAGAGGCUUUUCGGGGUGCCUCUUGAGAGGUCGAGGCCUAUGCCAAGGUUUUUGGGGGUGUCUCUUGAGAGGCCAUGGCCUAUGCCACGAGCGCAAGGCAUGGCCAUGACAUGAGUUAGGAUGUCCCAGGACAUGGCAGGGCGUGGCCAUGGCACAGGCCAGGACGUGUCAGUACAUCAUAGGACAUGGUAGGACACGGGUCGGGACGUGUCAGGACGUCGCAGGACAUGGAAGGGCGUGGCCAUGGCACGAGUCAGGACGUGUCAGGAUACAUCAGGACAUGGCCAUGGCACGUGUCAGCACGCAUCAGGACAUGGCACGGUGUGUCCAUGGCAUGAGUCAGGACAUGGCAGGGCAUGGCCAUGGCACGAGUCAAGACAUCGCAGGACGCGUCAGGACAUGGCGAUGGCACGCGUCAGGACGCGUCAGGACAUAGCUGUGGCACGUGUCAGGACGCGUUUGGACAUAGACAUGGUACGUGUCAGGAUAUGGCCAUGGUACGUAUCAGGACAAAGCCAUGGUACGUGUCCGGGCAUAGCCAUGACACGUGUCAGGACGCGUCAGGACAUGGCUGGGCGUGGCCAUGGCAUAAGUCGGGACGUCGCAUGACAUGGCAGAGCGUGGCCAUGGCACGAGUCAGGACGUCGAAUGAUGAAUCAGGACAUGGCGAUGACAUGUGGACGUGUCACGACAUUGCAGUGGCACGUGUCAGGACCCGUCAGGACGUGGCAGGGCGUGGCAAUGGCAUGACUCAUGAUGUCGCAGGACAUGGCAAUGCGUGGCUAUGACACGAGUCAGGACAUUGCAGGACGCGUCAGGACGUCGCAGGACGCGUCAGGACAUGGCCAUGUGACGUGUCAUGACGCAUCAGGACAUGGCCAUGGCACGUGUCAGGACGCGUCGGGACAUAGCAGGGCGUGGCCAUGGCACGAGUCGGGACGUCGUAGGACGUGGCAAGGCGUGGGCAUGGCACGAGUCUGGACGUCACAGGACGCGUAAGAUCAUGGCCAUGGCACAUGUCAGUACAUGGCAGGGCGUGGCGGGAUAUGGCCAUGGUACAUGUCAGGACGUGUAAGGAUAUGGCCAUGGCACGACGUCGCACCAAGAUGCACCACGUCGCUCCAAGCCGCGCCACAUCACUCCAAGCCGCACCAUGUCGCACCACGUCUAUUUCUUGCCAAUACUUAGAAACAUGUCAAGCGCAAUGAUGUUGGUGAUCGUUGGUGGCAUUGGUGGAAAGUUGGGGUUGUUCGAGCGGUAGCGUCCGGCGACUGUCGGUCGAUGCUUGGUGUUUGGCGGCGGUUGCUUCAAAUCCUAAUCAGUUGUUGUGGUUUGGCAACAUGUCAAGCGCAAUGAUGUUGUUGGUUGUUGGUGGGAGUGGUGUAAAGUCACGGUGGUUCGAGCGGUAUCCAUCGGCAACGGUUUGUCAAAGCUUUGUGGUUGGCGGCGGUUUUUUCAAAUUGGAAUCCCUUGUAGAGGUGUUGAGAGGCACCUCACGUUCUCACUUCCAGGAAGGGGCGGGAAUGCAUGGGGGACGCUGGCAUGGGGCGUGAGCAUUGGGGGUAUGCACGGCUUGUCCAUGCUACGUCCUCGAUGUUCCCAAACCGUGCUAGCAAGUACUCGUGUGGGCUUUUAGUACGCCUGGUGGUGGCCCUGCUCGUGGAAAACAUUGGAUUUUGGCAACGAAUGGUGGAGCAUCAUGCAAGUAGCGCAACAAGGUGCCGUGCUCAUGGGCGAUGCUUAGUAAGUUGGUGAUUGCCAUUGGUUGUUGUGGGUUGUGUAUGGAAUCUCUCAUGGCGGCUGAUGGAUUUUGACAUGGAAUGGCGGUUCGUCGUGCAAGUAGCCCGCAAGGUGCCGUGCGCAUGGGGUGAAGCUCAGUAUAUGUCAAUUGCCAUCGGUUGUUACAGGCAACAUCGCUCAUGGCGGUUGAUGGCUUUCGAUAAUAGAAAGGCGGAGCGUCGUGCAAGUAGCACCACAAGGUGCUGUGCGCAUAGGGUGAAGCUUUGUAAGUUUCCUAUUGCCAUUGAUUGUUGUGGGUUGUGUCUGUAAACCCCCCUCUGUGGCGGCUUAUGGAUUUUGACAACGAACGGCAGAGCAUCAUGCAAGUAACGCCGCAAGGUGCCGUGCGCACAGGGCGAAGCUCAGUUGAUGUUCAUUGCCAUCGGUUUUUGCAGGAAACAUCAGGAAGCGACAUCGCUCGUGCCGGCUAAUGGCUUUUGGCAAUAAAAUGGAAAAGCAUCGUGCAAGUAUCGCCGCAAGGUGCCAUGGGCACAGGGCAAAGCUUAGUAAGUUGGUGAUUGCCAAUAGUUGCUUCGGGGUACAUAGGAGGCAACAUUGCUCGUGGCGGCUGAUGGCUUUUGGCAACAAAAUGGCAAAGCAUCGUGCAAGUAGUGCCGCAAGCAUGAUGCUUUUCCAUUUUGUUGCCAAAAACCAUCAGCCGCCACGAGCGAUGUCGCCUCCCAAUGUUGCCCGCAACAACCCAUGGAAAUCAGCAACUUACUAAGCUUCGCCCCAAGCGCAUGGGGCGAAGCUUAGUAAGUUGCUGAUUGCCAUCGGUUGUUGCGGGAAACAUAGGGAGGCAACAUCGCUCGUGGCGGCUGAUGGCUUUUGGCAACAAAAUGGCAAAGUAUCGUGCAAGUAGCGCCGGAAGGUGCCGUGCUCACGGGGCAAAGCUUAGUAUGUUUCUGAUUGCCAUCUUUCGCCCCUCCCGUUCGACGUUUGGGGAGAACCAAAAGUUGCACUUGUGUCCCAGGUCGUCCUGGCUUCGCCUUGCGAAUGCAUGGUUCACCACUUAGCAUGCUCGGGCUCUCGGAUUCGGUAAACGCAAUGGGCACGGGGCCUUCAUUGGCUUCUAUCUGCCCAAAGAAUGCUCCUUAUGAAUGACGGUCGUGCUCGCCUUGGCUUUGCCCGUUGCUGCGAUGAUUCAUGAUAACUCGACUUGUGAAGAUCUGCCCAAAGAAUGCUCCUUAUGAAUGAUGGUCGUGCUCGCCUUGGACUUGGCUGUGCCCUUUUGGGUCGGCCAUGCUCAUGUGACGCUGGCGUCAAUGGAAUGCAACCUGGUCGAUCCUGCCAGUAGUCAUAUGCUUGUCUCAAAGGUUAAGCCAUGCUAGUGUAAGUAUGAACAAAUUCAGACUGUGAAACUGCGAAUGGCUCAUUCAAUCAGUUAUAGAUUGUUUGAUGGUAUCUACUACUGGAUAAUCGUAGUAAUUCUAGAGCUAAUACGUGCAACAAACACCGACUUCUGGAAGGGGUGCAUUUAUUAGAUAAAAGGUCGUCGCAGGCUCUGCCCGUUGCUGCAAUGAUUCAUGAUAACUCGAUGGAUCGCACGGCCAUCGUGCCAGCGACGCAUCAUCCAAAUUUCUGCCCUAUCAACUUUCGAUGGUAGGAUAGUGGCCUACCAUGGUGGUGACGGGUGACGGAGAAUUACGAUUCGAUUUUGGAGAGGGAGCCUGAGAAACGGCUACCACAUCAAAGAUAGGCAGCAGGCGCACACAUUUCCCAAUAUUGACACAGGGAGGUAGUGACAAUAAGUACUAAUACCGGGCGUUAUGAGUAUGGUAAUUGGAAUGAGUACUAUCUAAAACCCUUAACGAGGAUCCAUUGGAGGGCAAGUCUGGUACCAGCAGCCGCUGUAGUUCCAGCUCCAAUAGCAUAUAUUUAAGUUGUUGCAGUUAAAAAGCUCGUAGUUGGACUUUGGGAUGGCCCGGCCGGUCCGCCUUAGGUGUUCACCGGUCGUCUCGUCCCUUCUGUCGGAGAUGCGCUCCUGGCGUUAAUUUGCCGGGUCGUGCCUCCGGUGCUGUUACUUUGAAGAAAUUAGAGUGCUCAAAGAAAACCUACCCUCUGUAUACAUCAGCAUGGGAUAACAUUAUAGGAUUUUGGUCCUAUUACGUUGGCCUUUGGGAUCAGAGUAAUGAUUAACAGGGACAGUCGGGGGCAUUCGUAUUUAAUAGUCUGAGGUUAAAUUCUUGGAUAUAUGAAAGACGAACAACUGCGAAAGCAUUUUCCAAGGAUGUUUUCAUUAAUCAUGAACGAAAGUUGGGGGCUCGAAGAUGAUCAUACACCAUCCUAGUCUCAACCAUAUAUGAUACCGACCAGGGAUCAGGAGAUGUUGCUCUUAGGACUCCGCCGGCACCAUAUGAUAAAUCAAAGUUUUUGGGUUUCGAGGGAAGUAUGGUCGCAGGCAAAAACUUAAAGGAAUUGACAGAAGGGAAACACCAGGAGUGGAGCCUGCAGCUUAAUUUGACUCAAUACGAGGAAACUUACCAGGUCCAGACAUAGUAAGGAUUGACAGACUGAGAGCUAUUUAUUGAUUCUAUGCGUGGUGGUGCAUGGCUGUUCUUAGUUGGUGGAGCGAUUUGUCUGGUUAAUUCCGUUCACGAGCGAGACUUCAGCCUGCUAACUAGCUAUGUGGAGGUAUGCCUUCACGGCCAGCUUCUUAGAGGGACUACGACCUAUUAGGCCGCGAAAGUUUGAGGCAAUAACAAGUCUGUGAUG